rfam:Triticum aestivum genome assembly, contig: Triticum_aestivum_CS42_TGACv1_scaffold_271492_3DS
AUGAUACUCCCUCCUUCCGAAAAUACUUGUUGGAGAAAUGGAUAAAAAUGGAUGUAUCCAAAACUAAAAUACAUCUAGAUACAUCCAUUUCUCCGACAUGUAUUUCUGUACGAAGGGAGCAUUUU